UACGGAGGGAGCUAGCGUUGUCCGGAAUCAUUGGGCGUAAAGCGCGUGUAGGCGGCUCGGUAAGUCUGCUGUGAAAGUCCAGGGCUCAACCCUGGGAUGCCGGUGGAUACUGUCGAGCUCGAGUCCGGAAGAGGCGAGUGGAAUUCCUGGUGUAGCGGUGAAAUGCGCAGAUAUCAGGAGGAACACCAAUGGCGAAGGCAGCUCGCUGGGACGUGACUGACGCUGAGACGCGAAAGCGUGGGGAGCAAACAGG
rnacentral:rRNA from 1 species